AUUGAACGCUGGCGGCAGGCCUAACACAUGCAAGUCGAACGAGUGGAGGACGUGUGAGUAAUGUCUGGGAAACUGCCUGAUGGAGGGGGAUAACUACUGGAAACGGUAGCUAAUACCGCAUACCAUCGGAUGUGCCCAGAUGGGAUUAGCUAGUAGGUGGGGUAAAGGCUCACCUAGGCGACGAUCCCUAGCUGGUCCGAGAGGAUGACCAGCAACAAUGGAACUGAGAAAGGGCCCAGAUCCCGACGGGAGGCAGAAGAGGGGAUUAUCGCAAAAGGGGCGAAAUCCGGAUGCACCCAUGCCGCGUGUAUGAAGAAGGCUUUCGGGUUUUAAAGUACUUUCAGCGGGGAGGCGUUACCUGGAGAAGAAGGACCGGCUAACUCCGUGCCAGCAGCCGCGGUAAUAC
rnacentral:rRNA from 1 species